rnacentral:rRNA from 1 species
AGUUGUUUGGGAUUGCAGCUCAAAAUGGGAGGUAAAUUUCUCCUAAGGCUAAAUACAAGCGAGAGACCGAUAGCGAACAAGUACCGUGAGGGAAAGAUGAAAAGAACUUUGAAAAGAGAGUUAAAUAGUACGUGAAAUUGUUGAAAGGGAAACGAUUAAAGUCAGUCAUACUGAUGGGAAAUCAACUUCUCGAGCGUGGUUUAGUGGGAUCAAAGUGCCUUUGUUCUCGCGAUAUCUGCGUUCUUUUGGUGCAUUUUCUUUAUUGUAGGUUAGCAUCGGUUUUGAUCGUCAUAAAAUAACUGGAGGAAUGUGGCUUCGACUUCGGUUGAAGUGUUAUAAACUCUGGUAGAUGUAAUGGUUGAGACCGAGGAUUGCAACGGAUGCCCUUAAGGGCUAUCCGCCUGGCCUCUAAUUGUCACUUUGGCCUCGAAAGCUUGCUUACGAUGUUAAAGUGUGCGGUCAAUAGGUUAGAUCGGAUUAAAUUCGUUAAGGAUGUUGACGUA